AUCAGUUUGUACAGAGAGUCAUCGGCGGCUAAAGGCUGAACUAGAGCAGAGCCCGGCUCUCGGCAGCCGGCAGGCAUGAGCCCUCCCGACAGAAACCGAGCCCAAACCUGCUGAUGCGCGGUGCUGCCGUUCCUGGGGCUUCAAUGGUGCAGAAGCAUUUGGAUGCAAGUAGAUGUGUUUCCUGUUCAAACAGAAGCGAAUCACUGAGAUGCCUGAACAUAAGAGAUAACCAAGGCUUUGCACAUAUUACUUACUUGUUCACAGAGAAGCUCAUCAAAGCACAGAAAUGACCAAGGCCAAAACAAAAAGGUAAAGCACCAAACAACCUGCAUGGAAUAUACAGAAUCUACACACUCUGGAGAGCGUGAUAUAUGGCAUGCAAAAAAAAUUUUAAAAAACAAUGUAUUUUCCUAGAAAUCCUUACAUAUCCAUCAAGCUGCAAGUUAUUUCAGAGAAUACUGAUGCUACUCGUAAAAAGCCAUUACCAAAGUCAGCCAAAAUUCCAAGAAAAAAAAACCAGAAGGGCAGGCAGACAACUAAUCCAUUUUGGAGCUGUCAGGUUGUGACCUGCGGUAUGUUUUCACAGGAAAGGCAAAAAUGAGGUUCUUUCCCAAAUGAAGAACAACAUGGUGAUUUAAAUAAGGAAGGAUAAAUGACAAACAUACAGUUCUGCCUGCACAGAAAACAUUCCCAAGAAGAGGACUGAUCCGACAUGUCAGUGUUGAAUCAGAGCUCCCACUCCUGAGCUCCCUUUCCCGGCUGCAGCUUGUGUAAAAGACUAUAAGGAAGGAAAACCCAUGGAAUAAUGAAGAU